rnacentral:lncRNA from 1 species
CUGCCACACCUGUCUGAAGGUAAUGACUGUGACCUCUCAAAAUAUCACCACCUCCUUGGCUCCAGGUUGGCUGAAGGCCACUCACAUUGCUCAGGUCUGAGGAUGCAGGUGACCUCAUCAGUGUCCCCUGACCGUGUCCCUGUCAGCUGCAGAAACCAAGAGGCAAGAUAAUCGUCAGAUUUAGCAACAUCAGGAGGAGCCAGCCAGACAUGGACUGCAGAGCCUCAGUUCAAGAUGCUGCUGAGAAAGUGAAGCAGGCAGGAGUCAGUGCCGGAGAGGGGUCCAUGUCGGUGUCGGGAGAGCGCAUUGGUGGCCUUCAGCAGUGGUGGUGAAUCCUGGAGAGACGUCUGUCCCCAGGAGUCCCCGAUGACAGCUCCAGAUGCCAGAUGACUAAUAGAACCACUCCCUUGUGUUGACCUCACAGGAAGUCCUUGGAUGUACAUCUACUGCUACCGAGGUCACCAUGGCAGUACCACGCAGCCCCAGUCCAGGGGCUGAAGUGAAUGUUGUGGAGUUCAAGGAGUAUAAGUGCUCUUGGGUGGGAGACAAUGAACUGCAAUUUGAAGACCGCAGAUCAAGUUCUGUUAGACCUGAAGCAGCUCUUGGCUCCCUGGACACCAAAGUGCAGAAACGUGAAAGGCAGAAGUUGGUAUCUUGCCCUCCAUCUGGAUGGAAAACUGGGGCUCAAAGCAUUUACCAGUGUCUCCCAGUUCACACCAGGAGUGGGGUGGGACCCAGAAAGUCACCUUGUAGCCUGGGUUGGGCUUGAACUUGCAGCAUUCUGCCUCCUUCAGCCUCCUGAGUGGCUAAGAUUACAGACUUGCAAAGACAAAUGUGCCCUUCAGCCCGGCCAGUGGCAGCACCCUGCUUCAGGGCAGCUGCGUGCGAGCCAGGAAGUCGGUGGUUGGCGGAAUGCACGGAGCAUCCCCAGGUGCCAGGCUGCAGGCAUGAUGUCGCCUGCCUGCCUGCCGUGUUGGAUCUUAACACCUAUGACUCUCAGGAGACCCGACUGCUCUGUCGCCACCUCCUGGCCGGGAGGAGUUGUCCUGUUCACAGCAGACGCCUGGGAGUGCAGCCACAGGACUACCCACAGUGAGGGGUUCCAGGACGGUGACGGGAGUGAGGAGCCAGGUCUGCCUCAGCCCACCAGCCCUGAGGAGCAGCUUCCGGAUCACAGAGAAGACAGGAUCCCCUUCUGGUGGCCACAGUGCAGGACAGAUACCACCUGUGACCCUCAGCCUCUCAUGCUGUCCCUGGGCACCUGUGGGCUGCAGUGGCCUCAGGGCCAUGACAAGUGA